rnacentral:rRNA from 1 species
GUAGGGGGCGAGCGUUGUCCGGAUUUAUUGGGCGUAAAGAGCUCGUAGGCGGUUCGAUAAGUCGGGUGUGAAAACUCUGGGCUCAACUCAGAGACGCCACCCGAUACUGUUGUGACUUGAGUCCGGUAGGGGAGUAUGGAAUUCCCGGUGUAGCGGUGAAAUGCGCAGAUAUCGGGAGGAACACCAGUGGCGAAGGCGGUACUCUGGGCCGGAACUGACGCUGAGGAGCGAAAGCGUGGGUAGCGAACAGGAUUAGAUACCCUGGUAGUCCACGCCGUAAACGUUGGGCACUAGGUGUGGGUCUCAACCAACGGGAUCCGUGCCGCAGCUAACGCAUUAAGUGCCCCGCCUGGGGAGUACGGCCGCAAGGCUAAA